rnacentral:misc_RNA from 1 species
UACGUAGGUGGCAAGCGUUGUCCGGAAUUAUUGGGCGUAAAGCGCGCGCAGACGGUCUUUUAAGUCUGAUGUGAAAGCCCACGGCUCAACCGUGGAGGGUCAUUGGAAACUGGAAGACUUGAGUGCAGAAGAGAAGAGCGGAAUUCCACGUGUGGCGGCGAAAUGCGUAGAGAUGUGGAGGAACACCAGUGGCGAAGGCGGCUCUUUGGUCUGUAACUGACGCUGAGGAGCGAAAGCGUGGGGAGCAAACAGG